GUCAAGGUCAAUGCCUACUUGGUCUUUGAGGACGGCCCAGCUGAGGGUCCAGCCCUGGAGAGCCCUGGGAGCGGGGACACACCUGGCCAGGACCCUGCUGCGGGGCGGGAGUGUGACACCACAAGCAGGGCUGGUUCUGGCGGGCAUGAGGGCCUGCCCAGGCUCCUGGCCUGCUGUGGGCAGCAGCUCACACCAACAUCUCCUCACUGUGGCACAACGCCAGGAGAAAGGCCAGGUCUUCCGGCAGACUGGGGCUGGCCGGUGGCCGGGUUUGGCAGCCUCAGUCCUCUCUGGGUGACAUGGAUUCUUAGCUGAAAAGAAAAAGGAGAAGCCAGGAGGGCCCCUGAGGAGUGAGUGUCUGUCACCUGGCCUCCGACUCUGGCGCUUCAGGACCGUGUCCUCUCUCUCCAGCUGGUAGGUCCUCGUGAGAAAAGCCCAGGCCUAGGUACCAGGAGGCUCCCGGCUUGUCCCUAGGACGCAGCCUGGCCCUGGGUGCCGGCACCUUGUUUCCCAUGGGCUGGGAGAGUCUGGAGGGCCCAGAGGGACAGGAAAGACUUGUUUCCUGAAGGAGUCACUCAACUGCUGUGCUAGAACAGAAUAUUCCGGAAGAAGCUGAAAUGGAGGAAGAGAAGCCAUGGUCCAGAUGGAAGCGAGUGAGUAACCGUGGCCGUGGGGACAGUGGCUGCCCUCCACGUACCCCAUGGGACCCUGGAGCUCUGGACUAGGGCAACCCAGCAGGAUGUCCACUGAGCCAGCCAAGCCUGGGGGCAGGGGGAGCAGCUUCGGAGACUCUGGGCCUGAGAUGUCUGGAGAAAGUCCAGGUGGGUGCCGGGCAGCCGCAGGUAUGAGAGGGGCCCACGCAGAGGCCGGUGGGGAGAGACCCUGGUGGAGCCCCAGCCGGGGACGGCUGCAUCAUGGGCCGGCACCUGCUUCUUGUGUUGAAUGAAUGAUAAUCAAAAGCAGCAAAACUUAAUGAAAAUAGAACAAAUAGUUUCAUUAAAA
rnacentral:lncRNA from 1 species